UACUAAUUAUCUACGAACCUGAUUUACUUCAUAUUCAAGGUUCGAAUUAUGUUUUAAAUAAGAUUGAAUUCAGUUUUAUCUCUCUCGGUACUAAUAUUUCUUACUGCAGGUUCAUGUUUAUGACUAAUCAUAUUAGUUGGGUUGAUCCCCAACUCUUCAGGAUUUAUAUAUAUGAUUCGCAGCUUACCUUGGGGUACCAACUCCACAAUGUUUGAGAACGUGAUACUGAAAGUACAAGUUAAUUUCGAUCAUCCGGCGAAUAAACAAAAAAUGUGAGACUUAAUGGUCUUUGCGACGAAAAUGGCCAAAUGUGGUUGGCCUGGUAUUUCUAUGUAUCAGCAACCACAAUGAUGAAAUGAGGUUGGCCUGAUAUUUCCAUGUAUCAGCAACCAGUCUAAUUACCUUGACAACAGAAAGGAGUCAGAGACGAACUAAAGUUUGUUGGCACCUCUUAUGGAAAUCACGGCCAGAAAAAAAAUACAAGAAACAAAGGUUCUCUUUGAUGUAUGCAGUGAGUCCACCAAGAGCUAGAUGUGUAGACCAUUACUAUUAGUGUGCCAAGUACUGUGCACCUAACCCAGUUGAAUGUCACAUGGUCUGGAGGAGUAUAUGCUGGUCAAAUUGGAGAUUUAUGAAGCAACUGCGACAACUGAAUUGAUGGGCUUGGGGCUGAAUUCUAAAUGCGAUUUUGGUUCAGUGAAGCAUUGAACACAAGCUGGGGUUUCUUGCUGUGAUCGAAUUAGGAAAAGCAGUGAAGCAUUGUCGGCGUAUGAGGGCCUGAGCUGUGCAGUCGUGGCAGGCAGAAACAUAAACUGCAGCGAUGAUGUGAAUGGAGAAGAGUCAUUGGACAACCAGCUGGGGUUAUUUUCGUUUGUGGCAGCGAGUGCUCCAUUGAAUGAACUUCUACAGCAGCAACGAGAAGACCAAGGUCUGUAUGUUGGCUGAGAUGAUUAUGGUUUAGAAAAGGAUGAUCGGGGAGAAAUGAAGCAGCAACGUCGAUGGAGCAAAGAGGAAGUAUUCCGGGAUCUGAGUUAAGAAAUGAGUUGGCUGUUUGAUUGAAUGGAGAUGGCUGCAGUCAGCGAAGUGGAGAUGUGUGUAUGAGCUGUGCAAUCGAUACAGAAUUUGACGCAAUGAAACUAGUCUUGUGGUCAGCUGGGAAGGAGCUGAAACUUAGAUGGUCAGAACUUGGACAGUUUUUGUACUUGAGAAAGAAUUGGCAACAACAAAAGAAGCCACAAUGGAGAUGCUCCAAGUUCAGGUUUAUCUCGAAGUUCGCGGAGAGUAAUGAGAGGAUUGGUAAUUCAGUUACGUAGAGGAAGUGCUGUAGAUGGAUUCCGGAAGGAGCUUGUGUCGAUCAUGAAAGAGAAUGAGUGGAGUGUAAUGUCACUUCAGGUCCGUGAGAAGAAAUGUUUAUCAAGGCUAAGAGGCUGCUGACGAUGGAAUUGGUGAUAGUUCAGGCUUACUGCCAGUAUCGUCCAUUGACCCUGGAAAAUCAUAAACGCUGUUAAAAGGGUGGUACGUGGUGUUAGAGAAAAUGAAUUUAUACAAUAGUUUGGUUUUUUGGUCU